rnacentral:rRNA from 1 species
AUGGUGUCCAAGGAGUUGUGGGCCGGGGUUGGAUCAGCUCUGGCGUUCUUAGCUGGCCUCAUCACCUUGGCAGUGAACCAGGUCAGGAUCAAACUGUUUAUCAAUAAGAUCACCGCUUCCUUUAGCUCAACCGUACAAAUCACCAUCCCUGAGUACACAGCCAACCGUUUCGAACGCAAUGAGUUGUUCGUUGCGAUCGAGGCCUACAUCUCCUACAAUUGUAGCGAUCGGGCACGCAAGCUCAAGGCCGAGCUUGGCAGUGACGAACAGAAACCCCAUUUAUUUGUUGAUGACGAACAGGAGAUCAUUGACACCUUCGAAGGUACCACACUCUGUUGGUAUGCCUACACGGAGCAACCACGGUCCAGCGUCAUCGUCCAAACCCCCGGUGACGAGGAGCGCCGCUUCUACCGAGUUGCAUUCCAUCGCAGCUUCCGCGACGAAGUCAAUCGUUCGUAUCUGCCCCACGUCCUUAAAGUGGGCCGCACCGUCAUCGCCAACAACCGCCAGCGCCGCCUCUUCACCAACAACCCAGAUGGAGAGACUUACUGGAGCCAUGUGGCGUUCCAGCACCCGGCGACGUUCGAUACGCUUGCCAUGGACCCCAUGGAGAAGCAAGCCAUCAUCAACGACCUCAAUGCCUUCCGGAAAGGAAAGCAUUACUACGACAAGGUCGGUAAGGCAUGGAAGCGUGGGUACCUGCUCUUUGGCCCCCCCGGCACCGGAAAAUCCACGAUGAUCGCCGCCAUAUCCAACCACCUUGAGUAUGAUAUCUACGACCUCGAGCUCACGGCGGUCAAGAACAAUAUAGAGCUCCGGAAGCUCUUCAUUGAGACGAAGGGAAAGUCCAUCAUCGUCAUCGAGGACAUUGACUGCUCCGUCGACUUUACCGGCAAGCGCGGGGACAAGAAGUCCGGUGGUGAGAGCGAUAACAUGAAGAAAGAGCGCAAGCAGGACGCCGAUGGCACCAAGCUGACCCUUUCCGGGAUGCUCAACUUCAUUGAUGGGCUGUGGUCGGCGUGCGGCGGCGAGCGUAUCAUCAUCUUCACCACCAACCACAAGGACAAGCUGGACCCAGCGCUGAUCCGGCCAGGUAGGAUGGACAAGCAUAUCGAGAUGUCUUACUGUCGCUUCGAGGCCUUCAAGGUGCUGGCCAACAACUACCUGGACAUCACCAUCAGCGCCCACCAUUUCUUCGAGCUGUUCACGGAGAUAGGUAAGCUGCUGCAGGAGGUCGACAUGUCCCCGGCGGAGGUUGCCGGGUACCUGAUGCGCACGGAGGAGGAGGAUGCUGACGCAUGCCUCAAGCGCACGGAGGAGGAGGAUGCUGUCGCAUGCCUCAAGCGCACGGAGGACGAGUAUGCUGACGCGCGCCUCAAGCGUCUCGUGGAGGCUCUGAAAAAACGCCAAGGGCAACGCGGCCACGGAUAA